ACAAUAUGUGACAUUUUUUAGAAGCCUAUGUCCGAAACCUUAGUAUGAAACCAAUAGUACGCAAAUUGCAUACUAUUUCCGGUGAAAUAUUACAGGAUACAACGCUGGACACUACGGCGGCAUGAAUAUCCCACAUUGCAAUGUGGUAGUGACGAAAACGUUCAUAACAGACGUUCACGGAAAGCUCUGUAACAUCAAUAACGCUUCAAUUUAAGUUCCGGAGGUGCUGUUAGUGAGCUGCGAUGCCAAGGACCAUUAGUGUCCCAGCAUCCUCUGCUCUGGGGGCUUCACCUUGGCAGGGAGGAGACAGCGAGUUAAGGACGAGGAGGUGCAGGACCGGGUGCAGGUAAGAUGGAUGUGCAGCAGCAUCUCGCCAGGCACUCUGCCCAUCACAGACACCCAGUGUGACCGGACGCCAUAUGGCGAAAGAUUUACCAUGGCGACGACACGGCCAGGAGGCUCUAACUCAAACCUCCAUCAGAAUGUCAAGGAAUGUCAGAUAGAGAGACGGGAGAAGACAAGGAGGAGGAGGAGGAGGAGGAGGAGGAGGAGGAAGAAGAGGAGGAGGAGAGGAGAUACAGUAGCAUUGUUCCCCGAGCGCAGCAGGCUCAGCUGGCCUAAACAGUCCCAGUCCCCUCAGCCUCGUAAGACUAAUGGCGGAAAAUCACAACCUGGGGGGUUUGAUCCUCUAAAGGGCCUCUGAGACCUGAUUAAUAUGCAGCUUUUUUUGUGUGAAACACAGACAUAAAUACAUGCUCUGAAAUGUGUGUCGCGUGCGCUCGGGUUUACACACAAGCUUACGAACAAAAGCAUUCAGAGCACACGCUGGUAAGCAUGUAGAUAUGAUAUCAGACAGCUCGCUGAACGCCGUGCAGGGAGGCACAAAAGACGUGCAUGCAUAUGCUGCAGUCGCUACCAUGAGUCCCUUUGCAAAGGACGUAAAAAGCUAUAAAAAAUAUUCAGCCGAUUGCUCCCUGACUACACGGUUGAAGCAGGAAAACCAGACAUCUCCCUGCCCUGCGUGGUAUAUGUGAAUGUGCUGUGCAGGCAUUUUCGCCAUCUCUGUUCUCUAUGUAUGGCUUCCCCUCCCCCCACCCUCUCCAUCAUACUGUAUCCUCCUCACCCACACAGCAGGCUCCCCUCCCCCACCCCGGCUCUCGCCUCCCCCUGGGAGGAUGGAGCAACCAGAGAGAAAUUAAUUGAAAUCUAAACCCCGAUGCAGGAUUAACUAAGUAGGUGAAUUCCAGUUGUCACAUAAUCAGGGCUAGUGUACUAUUUGACUUUCAUCAAAUGGGGCUGACUGAAACAGCGACCAGGGAUAAUGACAGGAAAAAAAAGAGGAGCCAGCUGCUGUGUCCCCCCCUCCCUCCCUACCUCCUCUCUUUCUCUCUCCAUCCCAUCCCUUCCCCCCUCUCCUCAGCAUCUCUCUAUCCACCCCUGCCUCCUAACCUCACACGUAUAUUUAGGAUCUUUCCUACGGCCGACGAGCCAUCGGUAUGUGCACGGGAGAUCUCAGCAGGGGUAUAAUCACAAAAUGUUGCUGUCAGAUUUUGUGACCUCCUUCUCUCCUCAUACACACUUCUGAUACAGAUCACCAACGGUAACCAACAUCUAUCUCUCGUUUUCACUGCCAUGCUUCUGUACCACUGAUGGAAAUAUUUCACCACACGUAUAUGGCAAAUCAUGAAGACACAUCUUUCUCAUUACACACGUUAUGUAAAGUAACCGUGGUAUUAACUGCAAUGUCGUUUAGUGCUGCUGAAUUGUCCCCUUUCCCCAACUACCGUACAGUAAACGCACCGUGGUAUUUGGUUUUCUUUGAGACAACGGAGGAUGAAAUGUUGAAGUAAAGUGGGUCAAACAGCACGCCGCUCUGAUGAAGCAUGACUUGCCGCAAAAGAAAAAAAAAGAACGAGAGCACGUCAGAAGAUUUUUCUUUCGCUUUGAGAGGAUGAUGUAGAUAGGGCAACGCGAUGCCCAAGACUCGCUGGCUGCGCUAUCAAGCAAAAGGCACUUGAUCUAUUUUGAACACUGAAAAUAUCCUCAGUUCAAUCUUACACUGCAUCAUAUGAUGAUAAUUUUUGAUCAGAUGUUGAUGCAAAAACAAUAAACAACGGAUUUUAUUUAGCAUAAACUCCAAAGGAGACAUGCGGGAAAAGGUGACACCUUAUUUAGCACUCAUAGGCAGUAUAUAUAAACAUUGAAGAAACAAUUUAUAAUGCAUUCUAAUGUAGUUGUCAACAACCAUAACUCCUUCUGUGGUCACCCAUAAGUGGAGGCUGCUGCAUAAACAAAGCAGAUAAUGACUGACAAUAUAGUAACACACAGUUGUACUAAUAUAAAAUAUGUCUUCAUAGGAGAAGUUAUAAUUGUUGACAAAUAAUUUACAUUAAUAAACACUUAAAAUGUCCUAUAAACCAUUUAUUAAAUGAUUGUAUACUGCUUAUAAAUCCUAUAUAGGGGACGUAGUGUGACUAAGUAUGACCAGGGAAAACAUAAAGAAGGUUGUUGCUUUUGCAGAGCAGAUAAUUUAAAAUGCUACUAUUAAAAUGAUUACUGCAUCUCC